rnacentral:rRNA from 1 species
GACGAACGCUGGCGGCGUGCUUAACACAUGCAAGUCGAACGGAAAGGCCCUGCUUUUGUGGGGUGCUCGAGUGGCGAACGGGUGAGUAACACGUGAGUAACCUGCCCUUGCCUUUGGGAUAACUUCAGGAAACUGGGGCUAAUACCGGAUAGGAGCUCCUGCGGCAGGGUGGGGGUUGGAAAGUUCCGGCGGUUGGGGAUGGACUCGCGGCUUAUCAGCUUGUUGGUGGGGUAGUGGCUUACCAAGGCUUUGACGGGUAGCCGGCCUGAGAGGGUGACCGGCCACAUUGGGACUGAGAUACGGCCCAGACGCCUACGGGAGGCAGCAGUGGGGAAUAUUGCACAAUGGGCGGAAGCCUGAUGCAGCAACGCCGCGUGCGGGAUGACGGCCUUCGGGUUGUAAACCGCUUUCGCCUGUGACGAAGCGUGAGUGACGGUAAUGGGUAAAGAAGCACCGGCUAACUACGUG